GCAGCGACUUUAGGCUGGAUAAUAGUCAAAUUCUUACCUCGCUCUUUCACUGCUAGUAAGAUCAGAUUGCGUUUCUUUCAGUUACUCUUCAAUCGCCAGUUUCUUGAUCUGCUUCUAAAAGAAGAAGUAGAGAAGAUAAAUCCUGUCUUCAAUACCUGGAAGGAAAAACAAAAUAACCUCAACUCCGUUUUGAAAAAAACAUUCCAAGAACUUUCAUCAGAGAUUUUACUUGACAGGAAAGGCCAUGUGAGGACAUAGGGAGAAAGCAGCCACCAUUGGCAAGCCAAGAGAGAGCCCUCACCAGGAACGAUUGGACCAGCACCUUGAUCUUGGAUUUUCUAGCCUCCAGAACUGUGAGAUACAAAUUUCUGUUGUUUAAGCCACACAGUCUGUGAUAUUUUGUUACAGCAACCCUAAUAGACUGAGAGAGCUCCUGAGAGCUUCACUCACAGAAUCAAUUGUAUUCUUACCUGGUGAAGAUCCAUUCUAAGACUUAUUGGCUGUUUGGAAGUGAUAGCAAAUAAAAGCCACCUUGAACUGGGUCUGAUGCAGCAUUCUUACCAAACUUCAAACCUGGACUAGUUCAUCCUUAUGCAUUGAGGCUUUUUUAUUCGUGUUCGUUUGUUUUUACCAGUUAACUAUCAACAUAAAUUUCAUUUAUAAUAUUGUAUGUUCAGUGUUCCAAAAAACUGGUCCUACCAACAUAGUUUGGAAUGACUCCAUUAUAAGAUGGUGACUGCCUGUAUCAAAUCUUUACUGCCUUUUUCAAAUUCUUACCAUUUUUAUAAAAAGGAGUCACACUACUCAAUCUAUACAUCAGUGUUAAAUAUGAUUUUUACUAAUUUUUUUUUUUUUUUACCAACACUAUCUUAAAAAAUCUGACAGCAUAGAGCAGUGAUUAAAGGCAUUUGCUUCAGGGUCAAAUAUAGUUACACUGCUGUUUUUUGGACAAUUUGUUAUUUUGAACCAUUGUUUCUUACCUUUAUAAAAUGAGCAUAAGAUAAUGUUCUUUUAAGGUGAGUAUGAGAUAC
rnacentral:lncRNA from 10 species